GACGAACGCUGGCGGCGUGCCUAAUACAUGCAAGUUGAGCGCUGAAGGUUGGUACUUGUACCAACUGGAUGAGCAGCGAACGGGUGAGUAACGCGUGGGGAAUCUGCCUUUGAGCGGGGGACAACAUUUGGAAACGAAUGCUAAUACCGCAUAAAAACUUUAAACACAAGUUUUAAGUUUGAAAGAUGCAAUUGCAUCACUCAAAGAUGAUCCCGCGUUGUAUUAGCUAGUUGGUGAGGUAGAGGCUCACCAAGGCGAUGAUACAUAGCCGACCUGAGAGGGGGAUCGGCCACAUUGGGACUGAGACACGGCCCAAACUCCUACGGGAGGCAGCAGUAGGGAAUCUUCGGCAAUGGACGAAAGUCUGACCGAGCAACGCCGCGUGAGUGAAGAAGGUUGUCGGAUCGUAAAACUCUGUUGGUAGAGAAGAACGUUGGUGAGAGUGGAAAGCUCAUCAAGUGACGGUAACUACCCAGAAAGGGACGGCUAACUACGUG
rnacentral:rRNA from 1 species